CUUUUUAUGAUAUUUUUGUCUAUUUAGUCGAUAUGCAUGCGGGAAGCUAUUUUAUUCAGCUUAUUAUUAUACGGAGCAGUUCUUCAAAUGUGUUAGGAGGUCGACUUACCUGUUAAUGCGAGCCUUCCUAUUUUUUAAAACUAGAAUAGCUUCAAACUGCUGCUCUACAUCGAUUGCGAAUGGGCGGUUGUGAAUUGCCAUUCCACAUCAAAACUCUUACUGAGUAUAAUCUAAGCAGUCCAAUCGUGAAACUGGAAAAGCUGGAAUCUACUAGAAUCUUCAAGGAUUUCUGGCGGAUUUACUUCAUAAAGUAUGAAGAAUAUAAAGGAUUACCUAUAUCUGCCAAACUCUAGUAAAUUGCAUCUUAUCAAGUCUUCAACAUUUUGAAAUGAUCUAAUCAGCUAGAUGGUAAAACUCGCACUGAAGUACUUCUAUAUCCAUGGAUUAAAUUUGGAAUGAUUGUGGUACAGUACUUGUUUAUUUUACAUGAAUUGUCGGAUGAACCCAACCACACGAAUGUUUUUAGUAACUAGAUUUUUAUCGAUAAAUAUCUUUCUGGAGAUACGAUAACUAUCAGUUUAGUUAAAGCCAUUUUUAAGCGAACCUUUUCUAUUAUGCAGGGAAACUUCAAUGUAUUUAGUAUCGGAGUUUUCAAAUUCUUUAUGAAUUAUUUAGACUUUAAAUUUAACCUUUCAACAUGCCUUAAUUUUGAAUUAUUUGAAAUAAAACAGCCAAAAAUACCGGGAGCUAUAUCUUCCUUAACCAAUUAGAUUGGUGCUGACAUAUGCCCAAGUCGCGUGUUCGAAAUCCGGCUCACGAUUUGUUGCGGAAAUUAAUGCCCAUCUAUUACGAACUAAAUAUUAAAUUUAACAAAGUAACAUUCUCUGAAUAUUCGUUGACUUAACAUAUUUCAGCGGUCAUAACACCCGAAGUUCCGUUAGUGUAUCGACAAUCUGAUCCUGUAGAUACUGCUACAUUCAGUGGUGGCGGAGUGGUCGGCUGUACGCAAGAAGGGUAUCGACCAACUUAUCAUUCGUGCGAUGUGUCGCUAAUUUAGUCAAGUUCUAUCUAAUAUGCUCGGCGAUAUUUUUAGAUGGCAAUACUAGUUAAUGAUUGGCACUUCCCACUUACAACGGUAUCUUGCAUAUAACUAACGUCAAAAGUAGAACCUCUUCAAAUUUUUUCCAUACCGGAUCCAUUGGCAGAUAAUCUUUUUGAAAUCUUCGAUGUUUCCGAAAGAUAAAUUGAAUUCAUCAUCGUCCUAAGUUUGAAGGGAAAAACGAACUAUUUUAACCGUUUUUCGAGUAUUCAUUAAGUAUGAGGCAAAAAUUACUUUCAUAUUUCCAAUUUUUACAUUAACUGGAUAACGGUUAUUUUUCGCUAAAAUGAUCAUUUUCCUCGGGUUAUCCAUUUCAAAAGAACCUAUAAAAUUUUUAGAUUUCCUUAGGUAAAAAUAAUUCUUAGAUUUGUCAGGCACUACUUUUAAAAUCUUAGCAUCUUCAAUUGAGAAAUGACGGUUUAAACUUCAGCAAUUUUUCAGCUUAAGGAAUAUAAAAAUGCAUCGAUAAAUGGCAUUAGAAUUAAACUUCUUUAAAAUCUGACUAUAACGUUGUGAAAUAUACAAAGUGUAAGCUUAGACCAGAACGACUAAAUUCUUAUAUAAAAUUCUGUUGAUUGAUUCACGAGUUACAAAAUGUUUUCAGAUCUAUUGAAGUUAGAAAUUGCUCUUAACUGGUUUAUUACGAAUGGCUGAAACGAUAGAAUAAUGCUUUAAGGAUGGGUAGGUUGGAAAGGAAACUGACACGUUAAUGUGCUGGUCUCUGUUUACUUUCCGUCUAGGCUGUUUGGGACCGGCGGUCUAAGCGGAAAGUAUCGGUCCCUAGGGAACUAGCACUUAACGUGGUAACGGUAUGGGUUGGAGGAUAAUCUUGAAUGGGAAAACAGCGGGUGAUCUCUAAAUAUGAUGCGUUAAGUGGGGAAGCAAUUCUUAAAAUUAAAUGCCCGUUUAUUGUUUAACGAGUUUGAACCAGUGAAAUGCAAUUUCUACUUUAAAGAUCUAACUACAAAGUGAGGAUAGAUUUAAGCGUAGAUGCUUGCUAAUGUUGCAAGUUUAUAUGAAUCUUAUUUUAAAUGUAGUAAAUACAUUGGUGUACUAUAGUGACUUUUCCAAAACAUUUAAAUGCUAGUACACAACAUAAAUAUUAAAACGACUUUACCGCAAUCAUACGAAUAUUUGCAUAUAUCCUAAUAUGGAUCUUGAGACUUUUUCCACCGAUGAAAGUUCGCGGUCUACUAAAAUUCUAAUUUGUAUCGCUUCGACUAAACAAUAAGCGCAAAUUGUUCAUCUUAAAAUGUAUUGUCGGUAGCUUUAGACGUAGGUUAGCGAAAUGUAGUUCUUAAAAAAAAAAUCCGAAUGGAAAGAAAUCCAAAGGUUCAAAUUCAAACUUUUCUGUUGUAUCAUUCAAUACUGUCUGUAGUUUAACUCGUUCAAAAUCAGCAUCGAACAAAACUUGAUAGGUUUUGAAUUGAAUUUGGAAAGAUGUUAAUUUUCUUGCAAAUAACUUAUAUGUUCUAUACUCUGAGGAACUGGAAUCAUUCCAAUCAAAAUUCCUUUAGUCUUAAUCUAAUAAUUUCCCCAAGAAAGUUUACUAAAAUGUUCAUUAUUAGACUCGAGAAUUUAGUAAAUAAAGCAGCCGUAAUAUUAUCUUUCAAAAGGCUUUUCUGAAACCCUUUCUACUCGUGCUCCGGUCGGUAUAUCACAUGAUCGGAUAUCGCUAAAUUUUAUAGGUUUUUACAACUCUCUCAUUUGAAUGUCAAGUUUCUAUUAAAUAUCGAACUGGUUACGGAAUGUUCCGAUAACUUCUAUUUUAAAUUAAAUUGCCGUAAUUUUUGACAUGCAAAUUUAAUCAAACGUAGUCUAAGAGAAUUUUUACUAUAUAUGGAAUAACUUGAAUCGCGUAUUUGGAUAUUAAUGUAAGCAUUGUUAAUGCAUCUACAUUCAUAGAACUUAUAAAGGGACUAUAAAGAAUCUUUCAUUGAAGUUUCCCUCUAUUUUAAUUGAAGUCUUCUGUUGCAACUUUGAAAUUGACUUUGUAAAUUUAAA